rnacentral:rRNA from 1 species
UACAGGGGGGGCAAGCGUUGUCCGGAUUUACUGGGCGUAAAGAGCGCGCAGGCGGUCGAUUUAGUCGCGUGUGAAAGCCCCCGGCUCAACUGGGGAGGGUCACGCGAUACUGAUCGACUCGAAGGCAGGAGAGGGUAGUGGAAUUCCCGGUGUAGUGGUGAAAUGCGUAGAUAUCGGGAGGAACACCAGUGGCGAAGGCGACUACCUGGCCUGUUCUUGACGCUGAGGCGCGAAAGCUAGGGGAGCAAACGGG